rnacentral:rRNA from 1 species
UACGGGGGGGGCAAGCGUUGUUCGGAAUUACUGGGCGUAAAGGGCUCGUAGGCGGCCAACUAAGUCGGACGUGAAAUCCCCGGGCUUAACCUGGGAACUGCGCUUGUUACUGGCAAGCUAGAGUGUGGCAGAGGGGGGUGGAAUUCCACGUGUAGCAGUGAAAUGCGUAGAGAUGUGGAGGAACACCGAUGGCGAAGGCAGCCCCCUGGGCUAACACUGACGCUCAUGCACGAAAGCGUGGGGAGCAAGCAGG